rnacentral:rRNA from 1 species
UACGAAGGGGGCUAGCGUUGCUCGGAAUCACUGGGCGUAAAGGGUGCGUAGGCGGGUUCUUAAGUCCGAGGUGAAAUCCUGGAGCUCAACUCCAGAACUGCCUUUGAUACUGAGAGUCUUGAGUUCGGGAGAGGUGAGUGGAACUGCGAGUGUAGAGGUGAAAUUCGUAGAUAUUCGCAAGAACACCAGUGGCGAAGGCGGCUCACUGGCCCGAUACUGACGCUGAGGCACGAAAGCGUGGGGAGCAAACAGG